AACGAACGCUGGCGGCAUGCCUAACACAUGCAAGUCGAACGAGAUCUUCGGGUCUAGUGGCGCACGGGUGCGUAACGCGUGGGAAUCUGCCCUUUGGUUCGGAAUAACAGUUAGAAACGACUGCUAAUACCGGAUGAUGACGAAAGUCCAAAGAUUUAUCGCCAGAGGAUGAGCCCGCGUAGGAUUAGCUAGUUGGUGUGGUAAAGGCGCACCAAGGCGACGAUCCUUAGCUGGUCUGAGAGGAUGAUCAGCCACACUGGGACUGAGACACGGCCCAGACUCCUACGGGAGGCAGCAGUGGGGAAUAUUGGACAAUGGGCGAAGGCCUGAUCCAGCAAUGCCGCGUGAGUGAUGAAGGCCUUAGGGUUGUAAAGCUCUUUUACCCGGGAUGAUAAUGACAGUACCGGGAGAAUAAGCUCCGGCUAACUCCGUGCCAGCCGCCGCUGUAA
rnacentral:rRNA from 1 species